GCCAGGUGUGAUGGGACACACCUGCAGUCCCUGCUACUGGGCAGGCUGAGGCUGGUGGAUUGCUUGAGUUCAGGACUUCUGAGAUGCAGCAGGGCUAGAGGUGAUCACGUCUGGAAUCAACAUGGCAAGCCCCUGGAAGUAGAGACACACCAGGCUGCCUGAGGAGGAGUAAACCAGUCCAGGUCAGAAAAACAGAGUAGGUUAAAGUUUCUGUGCAGAUUAGAAUUGAGAUUGGGCCUGUGAGUGAUCACGCUAUUCCAGCCUGGGCUAGAUGGAGAGACUCAGUCUCCA
rnacentral:SRP_RNA from 1 species